ensembl:rRNA Gm26381 predicted gene, 26381
GUCUACAGCCAUACCACCCUGAACACGCCCGAUCUCAUCUGAUCUCGGAAGCUAAGCAGGGUCGGGCCUGGUUAGUACUUGGAUGGGAGACU